rnacentral:lncRNA from 1 species
UAGCAAUCCCCCUAGUUAUGUCUCCAAACAUUGCCUAAAAUCUCCAGGAGGACAACAUCAUCUGAUUGAAAACCACUUGACUAAUGGAAUCGGGCUCCAUGACAAACGGCUUCUCCCGUUUACCUGGUUUACUCUUUCCUGUCUGCGUGCCAACAGGGGCCUCAAUUUUUUUUGUGUGUGUGACAAAUUAUAAAAAGCUACAGUGAAUUUGCCUUGCACUACGUCCUGACAGCAUAAUCAAAUAACAGUUUUCAACCUACUGCCUGCACAGCAAGAAGACAAAGUGUGUAAGGACGGGAGCCACAUUUUUUUUCCUUUAAUAAAUCUUCGUUCAGUGAAUGAAAAAGUGGAUUGCUGCUGCUAACCACGAGCCAAGCAGGUUACAGACUCUACACACAUUAUACAGUUUCAUUCCCCAACCACCUAUGCAUUACAUAUUAAAAGGCCUGUUUCUGAAAGGCAGAGUGUAGAGGAUUUGUAGGGCAGUGAAAAGGUAUCCAUAAUCAGUGAUCUAUUGCCAAACCUUAACAGGAAGUCACAUGGCCAAGGAGAACACGGUUUGUGGAGUUCCAGCACCAGCCUCAAAGCAGAGCAUGGAAGGAGAACCUGCCAUUGAUGUGGACAAGUCUGCACUAGCCUCUGGAAGACGAAAAGGUCCAGGCAUUAGAAAAGACCCCAAGCCAUUCUACCUGUCCCAGCUGAGUCCCACACAGACCAGCCAUCCCCCAGCUACACACAGGUUUACUGCAAGCAUGCGAGUAAAUCCAGUGAAGUUCAACAACACCCAGCCAAAAUCAGCCAAAUUGUCUAGUCUACUUCCAGAUUUGUGAAAAUAGUA